GAUGAACGCUGGCGGCGUGCCUAAUACAUGCAAGUCGAGCGAACGGACGAGAAGCUUGCUUCUCUGAUGUUAGCGGCGGACGGGUGAGUAACACGUGGAUAACCUACCUAUAAGACUGGGAUAACUUCGGGAAACCGGAGCUAAUACCGGAUGAUAUUUUGAACAGCAUGGUUCAAAAGUGAAAGACGGUCUUGCUGUCACUUAUAGAUGGAUCCGCGCUGCAUUAGCUAGUUGGUAAGGUAACGGCUUACCAAGGCAACGAUGCAUAGCCGACCUGAGAGGGUGAUCGGCCACACUGGAACUGAGACACGGUCCAGACUCCUACGGGAGGCAGCAGUAGGGAAUCUUCCGCAAUGGGCGGAAGCCUGACGGAGCAACGCCGCGUGAGUGAUGAAGGUCUUCGGAUCGUAAAACUCUGUUAUUAGGGAAGAACAUAUGUGUAAGUAACUGUGCACAUCUUGACGGUACCUAAUCAGAAAGCCACGGCUAACUACGUG
rnacentral:rRNA from 1 species